AGUGAACGCUGGCGAUAGGCCUAACACAUGUAAGUCGAACGGCAGCACAGUAAGAGCUUGCUCUUACGGGUGGCGAGUGGCGGACGGGUGAGGAAUACAUCGGAAUCUACUUUUUCGUGGGGGAUAACGUAGGGAAACUUACGCUAAUACCGCAUACGACCUACGGGUGAAAGCAGGGGAUCUUCGGACCUUGCGCGAUUGAAUGAGCCGAUGUCGGAUUAGCUAGUUGGCGGGGUAAAGGCCCACCAAGGCGACGAUCCGUAGCUGGUCUGAGAGGAUGAUCAGCCACACUGGAACUGAGACACGGUCCAGACUCCUACGGGAGGCAGCAGUGGGGAAUAUUGGACAAUGGGCGCAAGCCUGAUCCAGCCAUACCGCGUGGGUGAAGAAGGCCUUCGGGUUGUAAAGCCCUUUUGUUGGGAAAGAAAAGCAGCAGGUUAAUACCCCGCUGUUCUGACGGUACCCAAAGAAUAAGCACCGGCUAACUUCGUG
rnacentral:rRNA from 1 species